rnacentral:rRNA from 1 species
GACGAACGCUGGCGGCGUGCUUAACACAUGCAAGUCGAGCGGAAAGGCCCUUCGGGGUACUCGAGCGGCGAACGGGUGAGUAACACGUGAGUAACCUGCCCCAGACUUUGGGAUAACCCUCGGCAACGGGGGCUAAUACCGGAUACGACACAGCUUCGCAUGGGGUCUGUGUGGAAAGUUUUUCGGUUUGGGAUGGGCUCGCGGCCUAUCAGCUUGUUGGUGGGGUGAUGGCCUACCAAGGCGACGACGGGUAGCCGGCCUGAGAGGGCGACCGGCCACACUGGGACUGAGACACGGCCCAGACUCCUACGGGAGGCAGCAGUGGGGAAUAUUGCACAAUGGGCGGAAGCCUGAUGCAGCGACGCCGCGUGAGGGAUGACGGCCUUCGGGUUGUAAACCGCUUUCAGCAGGGACGAAGCGUAAGUGACGGUACCUGCAGAAGAAGCGCCGGCCAACUACGUG